rnacentral:rRNA from 1 species
UACGUAGGUGACCAGCGUUGUCCGGAUUUACUGGGCGUAAAGAGCGCGCAGGCGGUCGUUCAAGUCGAGUGUGAAAGCCCCCGGCUCAACUGGGGAGGGUCACUCGAUACUGAUCGACUUGAAGGCAGGAGAGGGAAGCGGAAUUCCCGGUGUAGUGGUGAAAUGCGUAGAUAUCAGGAGGAACACCUAUUGCGAAGGCAGCUCGCUGGGACGUAACUGACGCUGAGACGCGAAAGCGUGGGGAGCAAACAGG